rnacentral:pre_miRNA from 2 species
CCUGCCCCUGCCAGCUGGGGUUCCUGGUGAUGCGAUUUUUAUCCUACCACCCAAAAUCACAUUGCCAGGGAUUUCCAACGGGCGGCGGGCCA